UUAAUUUGGGUAGAAACACAUGCAGAAAUGUCUCAUUAAUGUUUAUUAAUAUAAAUAUUAAGUUAUUAUAGUAAACAUCCCACCAGGCAUAGGAAUUCUCUCUCUGCUAUUCUAAGACAACCAUUUCUAAGCACCUUUUUGAUCUUUUUUGGAUCUCUUCCAAUGACAGCAGUGCACAUUAUCACAGGCAGCAACUAUCCUCAGCAUCCUGCUCCCCAUAGGUGACACCUUCUGCCAGUGUCCUAGUGUUCAGAGCCUGUCUUUCCAUUUAUUUCCUUGGUGUUGCUCCCCUCUAGGGCUUGGCUUUCCACCAAGCUCCAGGCAGCUGGGGCAGGGAGCUCUCACAGCUUCCCAGCUUCUACCUCUCCUGUCUGUGCCUCAACAUCUAAUGCUGCUGCUGAGUUUUAUUCUUGAGACAUGUCUGUGCAGCCAUGUUGACAUAAGUGAUCAUCAAGCCAUGGCAAUCUCAGCCAGGACAUCCCCUGUUUCAGGGAGGGCCCAUAGUCACAUCCUAUUUCCCCUGGUUCCAAAGCCUGUGCACACACAGGCCAUGGUCUGUGCACACACAGUGGUUUUGUGCCAUGGUCCCUACCAUCCCUCCACUGUCUUGUAUCUCUCAUUUUUGUCAUGUCUUAUUUCUCCUAGAUCCUUAUUCUCUGUACAUCACAGUCACCCCACCCAGCUCUAGCAAUGUUUCUGUCCUUCCACCAGCAAUAACAUUAAAAACUCAACUGUCUACAUCUGGUGACUCUGAUCCACUGUAAUGUGGUUUCAUUCACUAGUGUCACACUGGAUCCAGUCUUGUGAGGACCUUAGUAAAGGACAUAUUUCAAUAGCUGUUCUAGAAUGAACAGAGAGGCCCUGUCAACCAUGUGUAGGUCCCAUGGGAGAUAAUAGCCCUCUCUGAGAGCUCAUGGCAACUUGAGAAUGCUGACAGUGCCAGGAAGUCCUGUCUGAAAGAAACCUACUGAAUUUUGUUUGAUUCUGCAUUGUCCAACCGGCCUUGCCCACAGAGCACUUUCAGCUCUGGGGACACACAUUGCAGUUGCCAUCAGGUGGAUGUGACUACCCUCGUAACCUAGCCUGCAAGAUGAAGUUUUGGCUGUACCUUGACUUAUGCUGCAAACGUCUGAAAUAUUACUGCUGGGGUUGGCCAACGAGGUCCCCUCCUCUUCUCAAGACCAGAUUCAAGCCUUCAAGGGGCCCCUUGCUCAGAUCUCAGUGACCAAGCAUAGUGAUAUCCUUGGCAGUGACCCAUCUGCUGUUCCCAUUUGCCAAGUGGAAUGCACAGAGAACCAGUGACUCCUUUUUGAGUUCAAGCUCCCAGAGCAGCACCUGACUCUGAGUAGUUACUUGACCAAUACUGAGUGAACAGUGAGAAAGAAAAAUGAAACAAAAUGUGUCAUUAAACAGUCUGGAGAAAAAAGCCAAGGGAGCAAAAGAUGGCUUCUUAUUCUGCAUCUACCCCUCUCUUCAUGAAGACCUCCCCAGAUAUCUACCUGGUUCACUUUCUGGCCCUUACAGAACAGAAUAGAAAGAAAUCAUCCUUGGGAUGGAGUGUGUGUAUGUGUCCUGUCCGUACUUCCCUCUGUGAUUGACCUGCCUGCUUUCGUCUUACAGAGAAAGCCUGUAUUUCUCAUGUGACAUCAAAUGUUAAUUUUCUCCAGGGCCAUUCAGGCAGAACAGAGUCCUGCUUGCUACUCAUGGCUUUUCAGAACCGUCCAAACACAGGGGCCGGGCUAUGUGCACCACCUUCUGAAUUGCAGUUUAUGGAAAGGUGGGCUUGAUUCUAAUGGAGAUUGGGGGUGUCAUACAAAUGGCCAAAUGUGAGGCUUUUUAACAGUCUAGCAAAUGCAGCUGUGUUCUCAGCCUACAUAGUACAGGUCUUGAAAACACCAGGAAAAAUCAUGCAGUCAUUGCAAUAUCAAAGGGGCCAAAAAAUCAAAAUAGUUUUCUCUGUUUCUUUUGCAAGGGGAAUUUUGAGAGGAUUUUCUUGCAAAUGGUGCAGAUGUUCUGCCCCCAGAAGAUGUCAGCUGCCCAAAGUACCUGGUGGCCUGAUGCCAAGGCAUCACCUUGGCAACCAAUGCAUCCCCAGGUCCUCCAGUAUCUGUCAGAUGUGUUCCUCUGAGGGCAGCGUGAGCUUGCUCUAGGGCCUAGAAGCUUAGCCUCCCCAGAGCCUGUUCUUUUUGUCUGAGGCAUUUUCUCUUAUUAUAAUUCCCUUUUUUUCUUUCUCUCAGACACUUUUUAAGCCCCUACCAAGUACCAAGCAUAGUUAUAAGUUACUGGUACACAGCUAUGAACAAGAGGAAAUGCUGUCUUCAUGGGACUUGUGUUCCACUACAGGAGGAGGCCUUUAAUAAAAGAGAUUAUGAAGGACUCUUGUUAUGGGAGAAAACAGCAAGGGGAAGGGCUUGACAAGUCUACAUUUCCAUGUGAUUUAUGGUUUUCAAAGAACUCUCACUUACUUUGCAGUGCUUCCUAGUACUGCAUUCUUUAUUUUUCUGAUAUGGAAGUUGCUCUUCUAGGUGCAGGCAUCACCCCUCCUCAAGGCCAAGCACUGCAUGCCUGCAUUGCAUUAAAUGUUCAUGCCCCUGUGGCACCUGUGGCCCUUAUAACACCUGGAACUGCUCAUAACUCCUUGCCUUGUGCCCCUGUGACCCCACAGCCUGCUCAUCCCUGCAGCUGCUGAACUUGAGUGCCUGGCCCUGGUCAACAACCCACAUUGGUUGCUGGGAUUGAAGGCAGGACUGUCACAGCAUUUCAAAAGUAUGGUAGGCUCAGUCUUUGCUCAGAUGGACUUGAAGGUAAGUGAGAGGCCCCUUCGAGCAGUUGGGGAGAUGCAUGAAUUGACUUCUACUGGUCACAGAGACAACACCCACUACCACUGAAUGGGAAAGGCAUGGCUCACAGACCAGGUGUUCCUACCCAGGCUUGAUAUCUGAGAAGAUACCUCAUCUCUUUUUAGAGCCCAUUGAGUCUGUAGUUGGAUGAACAAGGGUGGGUAAAAGGAUUAGGGCAGCCUUCAAAAGUACCCUCUCUUCUCUGGAGGCUGGCAUCCAAAGACGUGGCUCUGGCUUUCCUCUCUCCCUUCUUAAGACUGCUAUUUCUCCUCUCUUUGUAACAUUUAUGGGCAGCGUUCUUUUUGCAAAAGCCUACUAAAAAUGCAUUUAAUACUGUGAGAAAAUAAGGGUCUUUAGAAAAGGAUUUAGAUAUAUACCCUCAGCUAUCUUAAUGGCAAACCAAAAGCCUAAUUCUUACAGACUGUGAAAAUCCUUUUGUGUGUCACGUUGAGUAAGGCAUCUUGUGUCUUCUAUGUCUGCAGGGGGAAAUACCCUCAGAGAAGAUUGUUCUUAUUUUAUAGAACAUGCAGGUGUGCCACCCUGAGUGUGCACCUGCCCAGGGUGUGUGCAUGUAGUGUAUAUGUGGGAGGUAUAUGUGUAUUUGUGGUUUGUGGUGUGGUGUGGUGUUUCAAGUUACAGGGAUCAGGGAAACCAAGUGAGAGACAUUUUGACAUUUUCAAAUGGCAGCAGUGACUUACCAGGUCUCUUUCAACAUUUAGAGAGAUUAAAAAAAGAAAAACUGUACUCUGAAGGCAGUUGUUGGGCAGAAAGAUUUCCAUUUGAACAGAUUGGUUUUGAAACAUUUCAUUUUGCUCUCCUAUCAAAUCCUUGUAAUAUUUUAAGUUAAUGUCUAUUAUUUUACUUUCUUUUUCUUUACAGGAUUAGAAGACGGCAUAUUCUUCAACAAUAGCUAUUUCAAAGCCAACCAAAUAUGUAGGCAGCUGCAAAGCAAGAGAAGAUGAAGAAAAAUAAAAUCUAAAACUGAAUGCCACUAAUGGCAGAUUAUCUGAAAAUACGGUGAAAGAUGAGAUAUGGUUAAUGCAGUCUGAGAAAUAAACCUCUGGUGUGAAUUACUCCAUUUGGAAACUUCUGCAGUGUCAACAUCAACAUGAGCCCAGGAAACAGAUGAUUUCUGAAGCUCCUGGGAUGUGGCCGACUGUAUGCGCUUCGGAGCUGCCAAAGCAUAUGUGUCAGUUAUUUCUAAGGGACAGAAUAGGAAUAGAGAAUUAAGUGUGAACAUCCUCCAAAACAAUGGAAAAGGCCACAUUGUCAACAAGUGUAUUAGAUGCUGUGCCUACUGCUGUUGUCACAGUUUAUAAAGAAACAACCGUGUUUCCACCAUUGGAGAAGAUAACCAGCAAUCCAGUGAAGAAAUGGGCAGAAGACAUGAAUAGACACUUCUCUAAAGAAGACAUCCAGAUGGCCAAACGACACAUGAAAAAAUGCUCAACAUCAUUCAUCAUCAGG